CUGAGCUUUUCUGGCCAGGGCCACUGCAGUGCAACGUUCAGACACUGCUGCUCUGGGCUGCAGUGCUGGGGCUCUGAUGAAGACAGCAACACAUCACUUUCCACUGCUUCUCCAUCAAUUUAUGCUCUUCUUCUCCAAGGCAGGCACAAGCCAUCCUACUUGCUGCUCCUCCACCGCAGGCAAGACUGCAAUUAGUUUUCCAGCUGGUCCUCUCACUCAGAUCAUCCCAAAUGAACAACACUACCACUUCAAAGGGGGAGGUACGAAGGAUGGGACUGCAGCGGCCUGCAGUACUAAGGAACGCGCUAACCAACAACCGUGUCCUUCCAACGGCUCAGUUUCAUACACACUUUUGAGCUUUGUCCAUGACCUCUGCAGAUUAUCUCUUAUGAAACACAUAGGAAAUCCUUUCUGUACCAAGAGUCUACGCUCAUUUCACACCUUAUGCUCAGGUCAAUUAAAAUUUGGAUUCAUCUGCCUAUAUAAUUAGAGGCACAUGAGCCUGGAACUAGGAGUUACCUUUGUAUCCAAAAGAGAAACAGCAACCCAUUCACAUUAAGUAAUACCUCACCAGAUACCACAUUAAAAUUUCGUUUUGUUAUCAUGUAUAAAAGAAGAAGUAUUACCUUGAGACUUGGAGUUUUUUUAAAUUUUAUUUAAGCUUAUAUACUGUUAUCACAUUAAAGACUAACUAUUCAGAAAUUUUACUUUUAGUCCUGCACAAGUUUUAGAGGCAACAAUCCAAAUAUCCAAAAGUAGGCCAGGCUACAGAUGAUAAUACACUGCAGAUUAAACAGAGGGAAAAUGCAAAGAGGAAAGAGACAAACACCAGGAAAGUCUCCAAGAGGCAAAGGUCAGAUAACUUUUAUUACAGCAGCAGAAACCUUUAUUUGAUUUUCAUCAACAGCCCCAUUCAAUAAUCUACACGAGGUGAAUGACGGAAACAAAUUCCAGACCAAUACAAGACGUUGAAAGAACCUGGAAGAUCAGUAUUCCCAUUAGAAGUUACAAGCUAAUCAUGGGAAAAAACCCAAGAUUCACUAAAUGAGCAUGAUGCCAGAUUCCAUCCAAGUUUUGGAAGAAACACCAAGCUUCAGCACAUACUUCGUAACAACCACUAAGUUCUGCCACAAACCACAUGCCCAUAUUUGUGUCAAGAAUAAACUGAUUAUUAAAAGCUUC